GAUGAACGCUGGCGGCGUGCCUAAUACAUGCAAGUCGAGCGAACAGAUGAGGAGCUUGCUCCUCUGACGUUAGCGGCGGACGGGUGAGUAACACGUGGAUAACCUACCUAUAAGACUGGGAUAACUUCGGGAAACCGGAGCUAAUACCGGAUAAUAUAUUGAACCGCAUGGUUCAAUAGUGAAAGACGGUUUUGCUGUCACUUAUAGAUGGAUCCGCGCCGCAUUAGCUAGUUGGUAAGGUAACGGCUUACCAAGGCAACGAUGCGUAGCCGACCUGAGAGGGUGAUCGGCCACACUGGAACUGAGACACGGUCCAGACUCCUACGGGAGGCAGCAGUAGGGAAUCUUCCGCAGUGGGCGAAAGCCUGACGGAGCAACGCCGCGUGAGUGAUGAAGGUCUUCGGAUCGUAAAACUCGGUUAUUAGGGAAGAACAAAUGUGUAAGUAACUAUGCACGUCUUGACGGUACCUAAUCAGAAAGCCACGGCUAACUACGUG
rnacentral:rRNA from 1 species